AAAAGAUGCACUAGAUUUAGGAUUUAGUUAGAUAGAUGUAAUUCUAUAAAUAGUA
rnacentral:tRNA from 1 species